rnacentral:rRNA from 1 species
AUUGAACGCUGGCGGCAUGCCUUACACAUGCAAGUCGAACGGUAACGCGGGGCAACCUGGCGACGAGUGGCGAACGGGCGAGUAAUGCAUCGGAACGUGCCCAGUAGUGGGGGAUAGCCCGGCGAAAGCCGGAUUAAUACCGCAUACGACCUAAGGGUGAAAGGGGGGGAUCGCAAGACCUCUCGCUAUUGGAGCGGCCGAUGUCAGAUUAGGUAGUUGGUGGGGUAAAGGCCUACCAAGCCGAAGAUCUGUAGCUGGUCUGAGAGGACGACCAGCCACACUGGGACUGAGACACGGCCCAGACGCCUACGGGAGGCAGCAGUGGGGAAUUUUGGACAAUGGACGCAAGUCUGAUCCAGCCAUGCCGCGUGCGGGAAGAAGGCCUUCGGGUUGUAAACCGCUUUUGUCAGGGAAGAAAUCUUCUGGGUUAAUACCUCGGGAGGAUGACGGUACCUGAAGAAUAAGCACCGGCUAACUACGUGCCAGCCGCCGCCGUAA